rnacentral:rRNA from 1 species
UGAGUAAUCUGCCCUCGGCACCGGGAUAGCCCGGGGAAACCCGGAUUAAUACCGGAUAGCCUCCGAAGCCUUCGGGCGUCGGAGAAAAGGUAGCUUCGGCCUCUAGCCGAGGAUGAGCUCGCGGCGGAUUAGCUUGUUGGCGGGGUAAUGGCCCACCAAGGCGACGAUCCGUAGCUGGUCUGAGAGGACGAUCAGCCACACUGGGACUGAGACACGGCCCAGACCUCCGUACGGGAGGCAG